CGGCCCCACGCACCAGGGUAAGAGAGACUCUGGCUUCCUGCCCUGGCCCGAGGGACCGAC
ensembl:miRNA